rnacentral:rRNA from 1 species
UACGAAGGGGGCUAGCGUUGUUCGGAAUCACUGGGCGUAAAGCGCACGUAGGCGGUUUCUUAAGUCAGGGGUGAAAUCCUGGAGCUCAACUCCAGAACUGCCUUUGAUACUGGGAGUCUUGAGUUCGGGAGAGGUGAGUGGAACUGCGAGUGUAGAGGUGAAAUGCGCAGAUAUCAGGAAGAACACCCGUGGCUAAGGCGGCUCUCUCGUACGGUACUGACGCUGAGACGCGAAAGCGUGGGGAGCGAACAGG